CCGCCGCGGGCGCCGGCCCAGCCGGAGGAAGCGCGGCACGAUGAGCGCGGGCGACGCCGUGUGCACGGGCUGGCUCGUCAAGUCGCCCCCCGAGAGGAAGCUGCAGCGCUACGCCUGGCGCAGGCGCUGGUUCGUGCUGCGGCGGGGCCGCCUGAGCGGCGACCGCGACGUCCUGGAGUACUACCGCAGCCAGCGCGCCCGCAAGCCCAUCCGCGCCAUCGACCUCAGCGAGUGCGCCGUCUGGAAGCACGCGGGCCCGGGCUUCCUUCGUAAGGAAUUCCAGAACCAUUUCGUGUUCGUUGUCAAGACUGCAUCUCGCACGUUCUAUCUGGUGGCCAAGACGGAGGAGGAAAUGCAGGUGUGGGUGCACAGCAUCAGUCAGGUGUGCAACCUCGGCCACCUGGAUGACAUAGCAGAUUCUGUGGAGAGCGGCUCGCGCGCGCCUUUCUGCGCGCAGCCCUCCGCCGCCAGCUCCCUUCACACCGCCCCUGCUGUCAGCUCCCUGCCAAGAGAUGACCCGAGCACUAGUACGGUAGCCACUGAGAAAACCGGAAGUGAGGCAGGGUUUCUCUUCCUUCCUGAUUAUCUGAUUCUGUCCAACUGCGAGACGGGAAGACUGCACCACGCCAGUCUCCCCACCAGAUGUGACAGCUGGUCAAACUCGGAGCGCUCCCUGGAACAGGCGUCCUUCGACGACGUUUUUGUGGACGGCCCGCAGCCACUGCCCUCCGGGAACCUGGCCUGCCCCUCACGCCCUGGGAACAGUUCUCAAGAGGCCCCUUCCACGAGGCCCCAGGCUGCCCUGAUCUGGACAAGAGAUGUCAAUGGCCCGUCCAGGGACCACUUUUCUUUACCAGUGCUGGAAACUUCCUUAAAUUCCACCGUCCAGGGAGAUCAAAACCAAGCUUCCUUGCCCUAUGGGGUAAAAGGACUAGAUGUUAUGUCCAACACGCCACCUCCCCGCCCCCCUAAGCCGAGCCAUCUCUCUGAACGGCGCCACGAGGAGCAGCUCCCGUGUGGUGGGCCCAGUGGCAUCAAGAAGCCAGAAGGCGCUGUGGUACCGAGAAGAAUCUCUCUCUCCGGUUUAGAUAACAUGAGAACCUGGAAAGGUGAUGUAGAAGGCCAAUCUUUAAGACACCGAGAUAAGCGGCUAAGUUUAAAUUUGCCGUGCAGGUUCUUCCCAAUGUCCCCUCCGGCUUCCACCAGCACUGAGGACAGCUACGUGCCCAUGGGCCCCCAGGCCAUCGCCUCUGCUCUCGGACCCCACUGCAGCCCUGACGACUAUAUCCCAAUGAGCUCAGGAAGCAUCUCCAGCCCAUUGCCUGAGCUCCCGGCGGACCUGGAGCCUCCCCCCGUGAAUAGAGAUCUCAAGCCUCAGAGGAAACCACGGUCACCUCCCCUGGACCUGAAAAGCCUCUCAACCAUCCGGGAACACACGUCUCUCACCAGAACCCGCACUGUGCCUUGCAAUCGAACCAGCUUUCUCUCUCCAGAAAGAAAUGGUAUUAAUUCUGCAAGAUUUUUUGCCAAUUCUGUUUCCAGAGAAGAGGAACAAAGCUACAUGCAAAUGGAGGAGCACGGAGAAGCCAACUUGCUGAGCAGUGGAGCCCUGACGUGGACGAGGAAAUUCAGCCUGGAUUAUUUAGCCCUGGACUUCAACUCAGCGUCACCAGCCCCUGUGCAGCAGAAACUCCUCUUCUCAGAGGAGCAGAGAGUAGACUACGUGCAAGUGGACGAGCAGAAGACGCAAGCUCUGCAGAGCACAAAGCAGGAGUGGACGGACGAGAGGCAGUCCAAAGCGUGACGGCGCUGGGCUGCGGGCAGGGGCUCUGAGGGGGGCCGGCCCUCGUCAGCGGCCGCGCUCGCCCCUGCCGAGCCUCAGGCCGGUGCGCCGGGACGUAGACAGCUCCAUCCCGGCAGGGUGGGAGCCACCAAAGCAAAAGAGGCGUCAGAAAUCUUCUCCAGUGGAGCCUUUGACGUGCAGAUUGGAGCCAACGGGAUGACAUCUUUUGACUCCAGCGCCUGAAGUCUCGACCUCUGUCCUGUGCUUCCGCUGGAAUCAUGAAUGAUCCGAGGAGAGACGCGCCUGGACACCAUCUCGUCCCCACCCCUGAGGACACAGUGCAAGACACCAAGCCUAGGGAUGGUGGCAGGAAGACAAUGCCAGUGACAGGAGCAUUGAGUCCCGAGGUCCGGCAUGAGCAUAUCAGAUGACCCCCGGUGGCUCUAGGGACAUCGUUGUGCUUAAGCAGCUGCCUGUGGCCGGGUGUCCCUUUGCUGUUGGCCUUUUCCCGGCAUGCUUUCACACGCACCGUCUCAUCUCUUCCCCUCAAAGACCUCGGAAGCUAGGCUUGGCGGCGAUCACUGCUCCCACGUCGAGGAAAACAAUACCAAGAACCAGAGAAGGGAACGCUUGGCCCAGGAUGACUCAUGGAGUGAGACAGCGAGUCCGGCUCCUUCCGCCGUCUAAUGCUGCCUCAGUCACUUAGGGUAACUUCGGAGACGCGUGGGAGACACGUGCAGACACGGGAUGACUCAUCAUCUCCUCUCCCUUUCAUAGGAUUUUGAGCAGGUGCUUUUCCACUUGAAAGAAAUGAUCCCAGAUACCACUCCAAGUCAAGUACACAUGGCAUGUCUGUACACUGCGCAGAGUACACCUUUCUAGAAGAUCUGGGAAUCAACAGGACAGUGCAGCCAUUAAUCUCGCAUUAUUUUCUGUAGCUCCUUUUUGCUCCGUUUCCUUCCGUCUCCUUUCAUUAGGAAAUACUUCCAGAUCAGGGGUUUUGUCAUGCAGAAAGGGGGACCGAAGGGUCUCAAGCCUAAGUCCACAGGCCCAGGAACGUUGGGAGUUAAGCUUUCCUCGCGGAGGGAGGAGCCCUGAGGCCCAGCACACAGCCUGGCUACAAGCGCAUGGUGUGACCCUGGGGACUCAGUGUCCAGGCCACUUCGCCACGCAGCAAACAGCAGCUGAGUCGUGGCCGUUGGGUCCGGGUCGAGACUGAUGGCUCCCCUUAGGCCUGGCCUCCCCCCUCUCAAGGCCUCCUCCUCGGGCCCCGUUCAAACCACCUUUGUAUCCACAACCGUGCAGAUGUUUAACAAUUCACUACGCUUUUACUAUUUCAUGUCUGGCAUUAAUAAAAGUCUUAUAAGGAGAGGAAUCGUGACCUAAGUGCCCUCUUAUUUAAGUGACGACAUCUGAAAAACUACGGGACACAUUCUGAAACCUGAAUAAGUGGAAGUAGACUUCACUGCCAUUUUCAAGUACAACAGACUUCACCUGACUCCCAUGGCAUGACCUGCAUCCAUGUUACUUCGCUGCAAACG